rnacentral:pre_miRNA from 1 species
AAGUAGUGUGACAUGCCCGUUUUGGUGGUAUACUCUGAUGUUUAUUUAUUAUUUAAUUGCUUUGGGAUAACAAGGUGUUACAAUUGG